ACGGGUGAGGAAUGCGUCGGAAUCUGCCUAUUUGUGGGGGAUAACGUAGGGAAACUUACGCUAAUACCGCAUACGACCUACGGGUGAAAGUGGGGGACCGCAAGGCCUCACGCAGAUAGAUGAGCCGACGCCGGAUUAGCUAGUUGGCGGGGUAAAGGCCCACCAAGGCGACGAUCCGUAGCUGGUCUGAGAGGAUGAUCAGCCACACUGGAACUGAGACACGGUCCAGACUCCUACGGGAGGCAGCAGUGGGGAAUAUUGGACAAUGGGCGCAAGCCUGAUCCAGCCAUGCCGCGUGUGUGAAGAAGGCCUUCGGGUUGUAAAGCACUUUUGUCCGGAAAGAAAACCUUUCGAUUAAUACUCGGGGGGAAUGACGGUACCGGAAGAAUAAGCACCGGCUAACUUCGUGCCAGCAGCCGCGGUAAUACGAAGGGUGCAAGCGUUACUCGGAAUUACUGGGCGUAAAGCGUGCGUAGGUGGUUUGUUAAGUCUGAUGUGAAAGCCCUGGGCUCAACCUGGGAACUGCAUUGGAAACUGGCUUACUAGAAUUGCCGGUAGAGGGUAAUGGAAUUCCCGGU
rnacentral:rRNA from 1 species